AUUGAACGCUGGCGGCAUGCCUUACACAUGCAAGUCGAACGGUAACAGGUUAAGCUGACGAGUGGCGAACGGGUGAGUAAUGUAUCGGAACGUGCCCAGUCGUGGGGGAUAACUGCUCGAAAGAGCAGCUAAUACCGCAUACGACCUGAGGGUGAAAGCGGGGGAUCGCAAGACCUCGCGCGAUUGGAGCGGCCGAUAUCAGAUUAGGUAGUUGGUGAGGUAAAGGCUCACCAAGCCGACGAUCUGUAGCUGGUCUGAGAGGACGACCAGCCACACUGGGACUGAGACACGGCCCAGACUCCUACGGAGGCAGCAGUGGGGAAUUUUGGACAAUGGGCGCAAGCCUGAUCCAGCCAUGCCGCGUGCGGGAAGAAGGCCUUCGGGUUGUAAAACGCUUUUGUCAGGGAAGAAAAGGUUCUGGCUAAUACCUGGGACUCAUGACGGUACCUGAAGAAUAAGCACCGGCUAACUACGUG
rnacentral:rRNA from 1 species